GUACUCAGUUUAGCAGCACAUAUACUAAAAGUAGGAUGACGGAGAAGAUUAGCAUGGCUCCUUCAAAAGGAUGACUUGCACAUUCGUGAAACAUUCCAUAUUUUU
ensembl:snRNA U6 U6 spliceosomal RNA